rnacentral:rRNA from 1 species
AUAAGGUAUCUUACUUUCGAAUACAUAGGGGUAAGAAGCGAACGCAGGGAACUGAAACAUCUAAGUACCUGCAGGAAA